CCAGAGAGAGAGCAGGUUCAGCCGAAGAAGAAGGAGGGGAAGAUAUCCAGCAAAACAGCUGCUAAACUGUCUACUAGUGCUAAAAGAAUUCAGAAGGAACUUGCAGAAAUUACGUUGGGCCCACCCCCCAACUGUAGGGCCUUCCUCUGCCAUGCAGGGGUUGGUGAAGAACUGGAGUCAGGGCCUUCCUCUGCCGUGCAGGGAUUGGUGAAGAGCUGGAGUCAGGGCCUUCCUCUGCCAUGCAGGGAUUGGUGAAGAGCUGGAGUCAGGGCCUUCCUCUGCCAUGCAGGGAUUGGUGAAGAGCUGGAGUCAGGGCCUUCCUCUGCCGUGCAGGGAUUGGUGAAGAGCUGGAGCCAGGGCCUUCCUCUGCCGUGCAGGGGUUGGUGAAGAGCUGGAGUUAGUGAGAUACCCUCAAGGGACAGAAUUUCUUCAAACUUGAGUCGGUCGGCACGGUGUUGGAUGUCAUCAGUGAAAUGCUCAGACUGAACUCAUCAAAGAAGGAAUCGGCUAGGCCUUACCUGGCUCCUGACAGUACCAAUCCAGGCAGAGAUGUUUGGGCCUGAAGAGGAAGAAUUCUUCCAGGGUGUUGGAAAGGCAUCUUCACGACAAGCUGAAGCCAAAUGGAGGCAUUUGAGAACAAAUGGUUUUGAAAAAUCCUGGACAUUCGGUGAGAUACUCAUAGAGAACAUCAGGAACUUUUCCAGUGAGUCGGCUCUUCACAUCAAAUGACCAAAAUACUGGAGCUUCAGCUUUAGCAUCAGUCUUUCCAACAACUAUUCAGGGGUAAUUUCCCUUAAGACUGCCUGGUGUGAUCUCCUUGAUUCAAGGGACUCUCGGGAGUCUUCUCCAGCCCCACGGUUUGAAGGCAUCGGUUCUUUGGCAUCCCGCCUUCUUUACUGUCCAGCUCUCACCACUGUAGGUGACCACUGGGAAGACCAGAGCCGUAACUGUAUGGAUCUUUGUCGGCAGAGUUUUUUGCUUUUCAACACACUGUCUAGGUUUGUCAUC